CUUGCACUUUGGCCAUAGCAUCUAAUAUCGUUUUUCUAUUUUCAGUAGACCUUUUCUUCGUACAAACAUUUUCUAUGCUCCACCACCUCCUGCAGCUCCGGCAAACUCUUGGUUGACCCAGACUCCCCUGGAGUUGGAGCCGAGGUCAGAGAAGCUCGGGACAACCACGAAGCCGGGUGUCCCGCGCGCCCCAACCACCACGGUUAAGGAUUCUGAUACGUUACUAAACUGCCACCCAGAAAGGAAUUGUGAUUUGAACUUCUACCAGAAAUCAGAAAAAGGUAAAGGACAGCCUCGCCGCCUGCAGGGGUGACCGAGACCCUGAAGUCCAGAGCUUUGCGGAGUCGUCACUCCUGAGAGUACACCUCCAAAGGUCUUCAGUGCAAUUUAAAUCACACUUGAUUUUGCCCCAGUCCGCGGGUAAGUCAACGGAGACCCAGGAAGGGAUAGUGAGAAUGGGAUGGGACAAGAGACACAAGAGAUGGAGACAAGACAGGAUUCUGAUCAAGUCUCAUAUAUUCAAGGAACUGAUUCAGAGUCCGAUCGAACACUGAGUCCAGCAGGUGAGGGAAGGCUGCAGUGUGACUGUGUUUGACCAGGAGAUGUUCACGCCUCCAGGCCAUGGAGAUUCAAUUCAGAAAGUCCAGAGACCCCGUAGGUUAGGCAGCUUGGAGCUUGUCAUGCAGGGUGCUCUCAGCACCAGCCAGCUGCAGGGGCCAAGAAAGAGGCCAUCAGGUCACUAGAGCUCCGUGUCCUCUCUACCGAAAAUCCUGUAAGCACCUGAGUCAUUUCCGUUUGCCUUCAGAUUUCUCGUGGAAACCUUGAAACGGUGAUUUCUUCCUGUGCAGUUGAAGCUGAACUUCCUAAAGAAGCUAAGAUUGGGCCCCUGGUGGUCUUGGCCAGUUGUUACAUGAUGAGGCUGUAGCCAGGUCCUUGGGCAGACUCACUAGCCAGCACAGGUCUGUGCUGCCUCAUGCAGAUGGGUUUCCUUUUGGACAUACCUCUUGGAAGCUGGUUUGUCUGGAACUCUGACACUUGUGCUUCCUUCUGGGUGGAGGGAGAGGCCACCCCCGGGAGGGCUGUAGCUGUGCCGGGCAGGAAGACCCCACCGCUAUGCUAAUCUGAACGAAUGCUUUGUCGAGGCUGGCUGUCCCAUAAGUGGGGGUUUCUGUUGUAAUGUGUGUGGUAGAAGAGCCGGCCGUGGUUCGUAGAGGAUGGUGGGAGAUGAUGGGAGGGAAGGGUGGCUUGUUUCUGUCCCGCUGACUUGCAGCUGGUGGGGAGAGUCAUGCUGCUGUCCUCCGCACCAUUUCUUCAUCCUCGGGAUCUAUGCUGUCUCUCUGAGGAUUCUAAGAGGAACAAUGAAAGCCGGAAGGCAGGCUGCUGAAACCAUACCCCCUUGAGGUUAGCAGUCAAAGUCGUACCUAAUGGGCUGGCGGAGGUGGGCUGUUGUUGAUCAGAUCACCUGAGGGCUGCGUCUUCAAGUGCCAGAGUAGCUGUUAAAAAGAGCUCAGGAGAAGACAUAGGAGGCCAUUGUCUUAUUGAAUUUCCAGUCCAUUAAGAAGUCCUGUCUGUAACUUUGAAGACAGGAUGCGACCCCACAAACUGCUUAAAUUCCUCACCUUGGUGACCCCCAUAUGUCAAUGGGUCCCUCACAGUGUUCUCCAAACUAGGACUGAGAAUGAAUGAGUUAGUUUUUUAAUAUGUUCUUCUCACCAUAGCCACCUAGGGCGAAUGUUGUGUCUCCUGCUCAGUUCCUCUCUGGCUGUCCCCUGAAGCUCUGUAGGUCCAAAGGCAGGAGCCCACUUACCAGUACAUGGAAGUCCCAGGACUUCCUUAGGAGAAUGCCAGGCUGCCCCAGAAAGUGUCCAGCUUGUUAUAAAGGACAAAUUUGCUGCUGAAGCCACAGUUUGCAAUCUUGAUGUUUGUGCCAGCAUCAGAGGGUUUGUGUGCCCGUAAUGUGUAAGGACAAUGCUCUCCUGGUGGGAGCCUGCAUGUCAGAAGUACUGGAAUUUGCUUCAGGCCUCUGUUUUCUCUUCACUGCCAUGAAGCACUAGGUAUCCAAAUACCCGCCUUCCACUAGCAGGUGUCGGGCAGAACAAGACUGUUUUCCCGCUGGCUAUCACUUUAGUCAGUCCACGCUGUUGGGAUUACCAGAGUCGCCAUGCUUCUUUACUCCUGGGGGCGUUCCUGGCUGUGAGCGUAUCUGUGUUUUUUGGAUUUCACCUCCGCCAGGUUCUCUCUAGCCGCUCACUUGGGUCUCUCUUCAGAAGACAGGACGGAGGGGCCCUGCAGCUUGUUGCAUUUCCUGCUGGCUCUCAGAGUCAAGGCACCCCAGAGUCAGCUUAAAGCUGAGAGAAGUAUGCCCUUGUUUCAAGUCACCUCAGGAGGUGAACCCAAAGGUUACCCGAUGAAUUUAUCUUUACAGUGGAAAUAAAACACAAUGCCGGAUGAAAAGUAAAUUAAAAAAUAGUUUUCAAAGGAAAAAUUGAUUAAAAGAAAAAUUUAAAAGACUAAAACUAGGAAGAGCUAAGAGGACCAAUAAACUAGGCCCAGUCAGAGAUUCACAGGUGCUUGAGGUUGUAAAAUAAUGGCUUCAUCCACCGUCAUAGGAAAAGUGACCCUAAUCAAUAGUAGAGUUCUCAAAUAGCCCUUCUUAAAAAAUUAAUUCAGAGUCCCAAAGAGCUUUGGUUUUAAUGUGGGUUCUGAUUCCCAAUGUUUAUCUUAUUCAAAGGGACAGCCUGUAGGACUAAUGUCCUCCUCGUUCCAGGCUUGCGACAGUGUCACAUGCUUGGCUUUUACAGAGUUUCAGAGCAGCUGAGCUUAAACUGAUGGAAUUCAAAGUGGUGCCACAGUGUCGGUGGCGUUGUGACACCGUGACACCUUAAGUGACUUUGGUGGUGGAAUACGCACAGAGGGCAUGAUCGGAAUUGCCCAGUUUUUUUUGGAGUAGAUUCUUUCUUCCCAAGAGCUUUAGGACCUCUUGGAUCAAUCUCAGCAUCUUGAAGUGAAGCUGAGCACAAAAGAGAAGGCCUGUUGCCCCAGCUACUCAGAGACUGAAGCAGGGGGAUCUCUGGAGCCCUGGAGCUCAUGGCUAGACUGGGCAACCUGGUGAGACCCUGUGUCUUAAGAAACCAGUCAAGUAGAAAUGGCGUCUGUGAAUUGAGCAAAUCCAUUGCCUUUUCAUUUUUUUGGCUCAACGCUGUGUUUUAUUGCAAGUGUCUCCCACUCAGCUCAGCGUGGGAUAGUGCAUCCAAGCCCUGGACCCAUUGCCAGGGUGCCUCUCGGUUACUUUUACAGGUGUCUCUCUGAUGUGGAGACAGAUGAAUGCCAACUGUCGGGACAUAGAUUUGUGGCUAUUCUAAAUUGGACUCACCUAUUUAACGAGAAUCUGGGUCAAGUGUGACCCUACGAUACGGUGUCCCAAGGUGUCCUUUUUCAGUCGCUCCUUCUCUUCUCACAGAAUUGGUCAGUUUAGUUUGUUUUCACCAUUAGGUAUGCAGAAUCACAAACUGAAUCUUGUGUCUUUCAUUUGUUCAAUAUUUUGUGAGGUCUUUAUAUUGUUUAUUACUCUAAAGAGCAAUUGCGUGACCAUAAGCCUGUCUAUUGGCCACUUGGGUCAGUCUCAGUUUGUGAACGUUAAACACAGCUCUAAACAUCCUUACACAGAUUGGGGGGGGGCAAACAUAUAAAUGCAUCCUGCUGAAUAUGUAAAUUUAGAGAGACAUUGCUGGCAUGUAACAUGUGAAUACUUUAGUUUCCAUACAAAUGGAAGUGGUUUCCGCUAAUUGCCACAGCCAUCUGCAUCCUGGGUCCGCUUUCGGGGUUGGUGUCGCCUGUGUUUGAAACCUUCACCCCUCUGCAGCGCCACAAUGGUGCUAGCCUUGUGGGCUGCCUUUCUCUGCUGCCCAGUGAUCAUGAAGAACAGCUUCUCAGGGCUCUAUUGGCCGCUCCCUCUUUUGAGAAGCACCAGUGCAUAUGUGGCGCUCAUUCUUAGUUCAAUGGCUUUCAUUUUUCAUAUUGAUUUCUACUACAUCCUUUCUUCAUGCUGUAUCAUGAGCAGGAAACACAUGGCUACCUGCAAAGCUGAGGACUUCUCUUUAGAGGAGCCAAGGAGUGGCUAGGAUGGGUUAGCCAUCCUCUGCUCAGGUGAAUUCUUUAUAGCCCAGGCAGGCCUUGAGUUUGCACGUCCCCUAUCUCAACUUCCCAAGCAGCUGAGGCCACCAUUCCUGGUGAAGCCAGGUUGUUGACUUAUGCCCUAGAAAAGGACUUCAGGAGAAGUUAAUAUUAAUCCAAGCUGAAGUUUAUUAAGGAAGGAGUUUUAAUAGAGAUGUCAGUACAGACGUUAAGAGAGAGGGAGAGAGAAGCAGAAGACAUGGACAGUGGCACAUGCCUGGAGUGGGUGCAGACUUCUAAAGAGAGUCACAUAUAACUCUGUGUGUGAGACAGAGAGAGAGAGAGAGAGAGAGAGAGAGAGAGAGAGAGGCGCCUUGGUGACCUCCAAAGUUACAUUGUUCAAAGAAUUCCAAAGGAGGUUAGGUGGGAAUGUUUUAGUAUACUUAUUAUCUAAGCCAGUGGUUCUCCACAUGUGCAUCUCAAUUCCUCUGGCAAACCUCUAGCUCCAAACCAUGUUUGCAGUACAGUUCCUAACCGUAGCAACAGUACAGUUAUAAAGUUGCAACAGGAAUCAUUUUGUGGCGGGGUGGGGGUGGGGUGGUCACUACAACAUGAGAAACUAUCUUAAAAAGUCUUAGCAUUAGGAAGGCUGAAAACUACUGAAAAAGAGUUUUCCUUUAGACAUUAGGUUUAUAAUGGGCUUUGUUUUUUUUUUCUGGGAAUAUUACUUCACAGUGCACACAUGAAUAUUUUUUUUCUGGGAACCUUACUUCACAGUGCACACGUGUACAGGUUGAUAAACCACAGGUCAAGUCGGGCAAGGCAGCAUGCAGGCCUGUAAUCUCUGUAUCAGGAGUUCAAGGUCAUUCUCAGGUGCACAUCAAGUUAGAACUACCCUGGUCUAUGGAAAGCCUUGUGUCAACUAAACAACUAAAAGCCUCAGUGGAAUCCUUAGUAUACAUAGUAUACACAGGUGACAAGGAAGUCAGGGUGGUGUUUGGCUGGGAACGAGGUUCCUAAUCUUGUUUGUUUGUGUGAUUCUCAGCCAAUGGAGGUGAGGGACUCUGUUUCUUCCCAGUGCCCUCCAUUUCCCCUUUGUUUCAGCCUGCCUCUGUUAGCUAUGAAUUCUUUGUUAGAUAUGACCCUACAUGCAUUUCUGAUAGGGGAGUUCAGACAAUCACAUUCUGUUUGUGGGGCGUGUCACCCUUAGGCUAAAGUUUACCUAUAAACCUGGCGAGUGCGCUCCUGCUAGCUCUCUUGCCUAGCUCCUGUGUCCAGACGGAUCGUUUGGAUUCUGGUGUAAGCUGGUGUAAGUCUUCCUUCUGUUUAUUAAAGCUGUAUAUUUUGUAUUAA